rnacentral:rRNA from 1 species
UAGGGAAUCUUCGGCAAUGGACGAAAGUCUGACCGAGCAACGCCGCGUGAGUGAAGAAGGUUUUCGGAUCGUAAAACUCUGUUGUUAGAGAAGAACAAGGACGUUAGUAACUGAACGUCCCCUGAUGGUAUCUAACCAGAAAGCCACGGCUAACUACGUGCCAGCAGCCGCGGUAAUACGUAGGUGGCAAGCGUUGUCCGGAUUUAUUGGGCGUAAAGCGAGCGCAGGCGGUUUCUUAAGUCUGAUGUGAAAGCCCCCGGCUCAACCGGGGAGGGUCAUUGGAAACUGGGAGACUUGAGUGCAGAAGAGGAGAGUGGAAUUCCAUGUGUAGCGGUGAAAUGCGUAGAUAUAUGGAGGAACACCAGUGGCGAAGGCGGCUCUCUGGUCUGUAACUGACGCUGAGGCUCGAAAGCGUGGGCAGCAAACAGG